rnacentral:siRNA from 1 species
CAGUUUAUCACACUACUUGAUGC